rnacentral:lncRNA from 1 species
GUGUGUUAUUCGUACUCUUCUGUUUUAGACAUUUCUAGAUAAUUUAAAUGGUCUAAAUCAUGUUCAACUGUGCCAAUCGUCGAUUUGGAAGCUCUAUCAUCAAAAACAAAUCGGUAGUAAACCGAGCAGUUUACUACCGAUAGUAGCCCAGUCAAACCCUAUAUGUAUAUAGAGAGAGAGAGAGAGAGAGAGAGAGAGAGAGAGAGAGAGUUGAGCUAGAAUACUUUUAGAAGCACCAACCCCUUGGUGCUUCUAAAUUUCUAGAUUUUGGAUCUACUCCUUAAUUAUUAAUACCCCUUGGAUCAAACACUAUUCUACCUACCACCACCUACCACCACCUACAACCAUCAUCUCAACCCUACAUUUCUCCAUCCAGAGGCUAAAAACUCAAAAGCACAAUCUCUUUGGUGCUUUUGAAAGUAUUCUAGCUCAACUAUAUAUAUAUAUAUAUAUAUAUAGCAGGGCUGCUAUGCUCUCAGGAGCACGUAGGCCUCCGUACUCCUGAGCCGUUUUUGAUGAUGGAGUUUCCGAAUCGACGAUCGGCUCCGUUAAACUUGAUCUAGCGUAUUUGAAGUUUCUAGAAAAUAAUUUUUGCGAUUUUUCGAUAUCAUUUACCUAGCAAUCGAAAUGAUUCAAAAUCAAUAAUUUUUAACGGCUGAAAAUAAAAAUCCUAUAAAAAGUCGUGAUAUAGCACAAAAAAUUUAUCAGAAAUAUUGAUCUUGUUAUAGAUAGUAUAAAGGAUUUUGUAUCAAAAUUUCAUCUGAUUUGAAUACUUCUACAAUGUUAAACUUGAAAACCACAGAUAUCAAUCAUUAAAAAUUAUGGAUUUUGAAUCCUUUCGAUCACUAGGUAAAUGAUAUCAAAAAGAUCGGCAAAAAUUUUUUCUAGAAACUUCAAAUGUGCUAGAUCAAGUCUAACAAAGUCGAUCGUCGAUUUGAAAAUUUUAUCAUCGAAAACGCCUUAGGAGCACGGAGCCUCCGUGCUCUGAGAGCACAGCAGC